rnacentral:rRNA from 1 species
ACGUAGGGGGCAAGCGUUAUCCGGAUUUACUGGGUGUAAAGGGAGCGUAGACGGCUGUGCAAGUCUGAAGUGAAAGCCCGCGGCUCAACUGCGGAAUUGCUUUGGAAACUGUAUAGCUUGAGUAUCGGAGGGGUAAGCGGAAUUCCUAGUGUAGCGGUGAAAUGCGUAGAUAUUAGGAGGAACACCGGUGGCGAAGGCGGCUUACUGGACGAUAACUGACGUUGAGGCUCGAAAGCGUGGGGAGCAAACAG